AAGUUGUCAACAGGUUUGGAACAACUUAAUUGUUGACAACUUGUAACAACCUUGUCGAAAUUCAGACUUGUUGCAAGGUUGUUCUGACAAGUCCGUUACAUGCUUGAUAUAACAAGAUUGUCGCAAUCUUGUGUUGACAACCUUCGGUAACAUCCUUGUUAUAUCAUGGCUGUAACAAACUUACUAAACUUGUUAGCACAGUCUUGUAACAAGGCUGAUAAUGCCAUCAAGCUUGUUACAAGUUGUUAACAGCUUGUUUCAAACUUGUUACAACAAACUU